UCACCGCCGGGCUCGGAUUCGCUUGGUGCAGGUCGGGACUAAUUCGCUGACACAGCCACGUGGAUUUUCCUUAUUGGUUUGUGAGCAGGGAUUGGAUCCCGCCUUGCAUCAACUGAAUCGGAGCCUCGAUGGUGAAA
rfam:Brassica napus, WGS project CCCW01000000 data, contig: 42245